rnacentral:lncRNA from 1 species
CGUGUAUUUUUUCUUCUUUUUUAUUAUAAUACUUUAUAGAAAAACCAUACCAAAGUGAAAAUACAUCUAGUAGAAGUUACUAUUCCAAAAAUACACAGAACAGCCAAAGUUAUGACCAAUCUGAUGAUUUUAACGAUUUUCAUCGAGCUUUUUACGAAGAAGUUCGUAGAAUGAGAGAAAAUGAGAAGAAAGAACAAUAUAGAGUAAAUUUUUAUUUUAUUUAUUUUUAUUAUUAUAAUACUCAUAACUAAAAUUAUUCUAUUUUAAUUUGUUUUGUUCUGUUUACUUAUUUCUUAUGUUUUUUUUUUUUUUUUUUUUAUGCAGAGAUACGCAAAUAAUACGAACAGCUACUCAUUCAAUGAUUUUGUCCAUAAAUAUGCUAGGGAAUACUUUUAUAUAAAUUUAAUUUUUAAAUUAUUCCCCCUAUUUGUAGUUCCUUUUUUAUUUUUUUUUGUUGUAUAUAAGCAUUACAUUUUGAAAGCACACUUGAGGGAAAAACCUGUACUCCUGUAUGAUUCUUAUGGUAAAAUACAAAAAUGAAUUAAUAUGUAUUACCAUUUAUUAAGAUGAAACUAUUAUAAAUAUGCAAAAAUACUACUUAACAUGCAACACCAAAAGAAAAAAGUUUUAUAAAUUAAUUUUUUUUUUUUUUUUUUUUAACAGGAAGAGCUUAUUUGGUAGAUAUGCAAGGAAGAAAAUUUAGGUAAAAUAUAUUAAAAAAAAAUGCUUUGUAAUAAAUGUGAUGGCACUAUAUAGACA